GACGAACGCUGGCGGCGUGCUUAACACAUGCAAGUCGAACGGAAAGGCCCUGCUUUUGUGGGGUGCUCGAGUGGCGAACGGGUGAGUAACACGCGAGUAACCUCCCCUUGACUUUGGGAUAACUUCAGGAAACUGGGGCUCAUACCGCAUAUGAGCUCCUGCUCCAUGGUGGGGGUUGGAAAGUUUCGGCGGUUGGGGAUGGACUCGCGGCUUAUCAGCUUGUUGGUGGGGUAGUGGCUUACCAAGGCUUUGACGGGUAGCCGGCCUGAGAGGGUGAACGGCGACAUUGGGCCUGAGAUACGGCGCAGUAGCCAACGGGAGGCAGCAGUGGGGAGUAUUGCGCAAUGGGCGGGAGCCUGAUGCAGCAACGCCGCGAUCGUGAUGACGGCUUUCGGGUUGUAAACAGCUGUCGCCUGUGACGAAGCGUGAGUGACGGUACUGGGUAAGGAAGCACCGGCUAACUACGUG
rnacentral:rRNA from 1 species